rfam:TPA: Bos taurus chromosome 13, whole genome shotgun sequence.
GACUACGGCCAUACCACCCUGAACGCACCCGAUCUUGUCUGAUCUCAGAAGCUAAGCAGGGUUGGGCCUGGUUAGUUCUUGGAUGGGAGAAGUACUUAGUGCAGACUUCG